CAGUAGCCGCGGUAAUACAGAGGGUGCAAGCGUUAAUCGGAAUUACUGGGCGUAAAGCGCGCGUAGGUGGUUUGUUAAGUUGGAUGUGAAAUCCCCGGGCUCAACCUGGGAACUGCAUCCAAAACUGGCAAGCUAGAGUAUGGUAGAGGGUGGUGGAAUUUCCUGUGUAGCGGUGAAAUGCGUAGAUAUAGGAAGGAACACCAGUGGCGAAGGCGACCACCUGGACUGAUACUGACGCUGAGGCGCGAAAGCGUGGGGAGCAAACAGGAUUAGAUACCCCUGUAGUCCCUGUCUCUUAUAC
rnacentral:rRNA from 1 species